rnacentral:miRNA from 1 species
UGCCACUCUUUUAGCUUCCGAAUC